rfam:Nicotiana attenuata strain TT chromosome 7, whole genome shotgun sequence.
AUACUUGCGUGUGUGUUUGGUCCCAACAGCUGGUGACCUCCAUUGCACUUUGGAGGGGUGCCCGCCUAAAGUCGGCCCAAGAGGUCGAGCUUACAUCAUAAUUUGUGAUAGUGGGGGACUGCGUUCGCGGCCCCUA